GACGAACGCUGGCGGCGUGCUUAACACAUGCAAGUCGAACGGAAAGGCCCUGCUUUUGUGGGGUGCUCGAGUGGCGAACGGGUGAGUAACACGUGAGUAACCUGCCCUUGACUUUGGGAUAACUUCAGGAAACUGGGGCUAAUACCGGAUAGGAGCUCCUGCUGCAUGGUGGGGGUUGGAAAGUUUCGGCGGUUGGGGAUGGACUCGCGGCUUAUCAGCUUGUUGGUGGGGUAGUGGCUUACCAAGGCUUUGACGGGUAGCCGGCCUGAGAGGGUGACCGGGCACAUUGGGACUGAGAUACGGCCCAGACUGCUACGGGAGGCAGCAGUGGGGAACAUUGCACAAUGGGCGGAAGCCUGAUGCAGCAACGCCGCGUGCGGGAUGACGGCCUUCGGGUUGUAAACCGCUUUCGCCUGUGACGAAGCGUGAGUGACGGUAAUGGGUAAAGAAGCACCGGCUAACUACGUG
rnacentral:rRNA from 1 species